UACGUAGGCAGCGAGCGUUGUUCGGAGUUACUGGGCGUAAAGAGUGCGUAGGCGGUGUUCCAAGUCUGGUGUGAAAUCUCCCGGCUCAACUGGGAGGGUGCGCCGGAAACUGGGAUGCUGGAGUAUGGGAGAGGUAAGCGGAAUUCCUGGUGUAGCGGUGAAAUGCGUAGAUAUCAGGAGGAACACCUGCGGUGUAGACGGCUUACUGGACCAUAACUGACGCUGAGGCACGAAAGCGUGGGGAGCAAACAGGAUUAGAUACCCUUGUAGUCC
rnacentral:rRNA from 1 species